CAGUCGAGCGGUAGGCCUUUCGGGGUACACGAGCGGCGAACGGGUGAGUAACACGUGGGUGAUCUGCCCUGCACUCUGGGAUAAGCUUGGGAAACUGGGUCUAAUACCGGAUAUGACCACAAUGCGCAUGUGUUGUGGUGGAAAGAUUUAUCGGUGCAGGAUGGGCCCGCGGCCUAUCAGCUUGUUGGUGGGGUAAUGGCCUACCAAGGCGACGACGGGUAGCCGACCUGAGAGGGUGACCGGCCACACUGGGACUGAGACACGGCCCAGACUCCUACGGGAGGCAGCAGUGGGGAAUAUUGCACAAUGGGCGGAAGCCUGAUGCAGCGACGCCGCGUGAGGGAUGAAGGCCUUCGGGUUGUAAACCUCUUUCAGCAGGGACGAAGCGUGAGUGACGGUACCUGCAGAAGAAGCACCGGCUAACUACGUGCCAGCAGCCGCGGUAAUACGUAGGGUGCGAGCGUUGUCCGGAAUUACUGGGCGUAAAGAGUUCGUAGGCGGUUUGUCGCGUCGUUUGUG
rnacentral:rRNA from 1 species